CAAGAGUUGCAGUUUCGAAACAGAGUGGAGGCUCCUUUAAUCUUGACAGCCCGAAUGCUACAGGGGUCACAGCACAUCUGCUCCGGAGGAAAGACAAAGGGCAAGGUGGGGCCACGGUAGCCCGCGCGGGGCUCUUGGCGGGCUGGGGGCGGCGUGCGCCGAGCUGGGCGCGAGUGGAGGGGCCGGCGGCUUUGUGCGCCCCCGCCAGUGCCCGCCCGCAGCCCCGCCGCAGCGUUUAACCUUGACUUCUCCCUCCUCGCUUCUGGCACGGGAGGAAAGCCUGUCCAGAUGGGCGUCCUGAGUGUGACGACGUCCCCUCCCGCCCCCGCGCUCUCGCGCAGAUGUCGCACGCUGCCCUGGGUCCCGCCACACCGCCCACCAAGGCCGCGGGCCCUGCGCGCCCGGGGCAGGCGGGCACAUCCCGCACCCUCUCCGCCCGCCCGCCCCCGGCGCCCUUCGCAUUCCCUUCUUCGGCCCUGGCCCCUCGGACCGGAGCGCCCAGGCCAGCUCAGGGUGUUCCCGUGGGGGUCUCCGGAAACAAUGAGCAGUUGCCCUACUGAGUUAAUGUGAUAAGGAGAAAAAAAAAAGGGAUUGAUGGUUAAGAGAAUGGUUGAACACAGGCACAUCUCAGGAUGGGGCAAUAUUUGGUGAGAACCAUAUUGGAUUCUACCAAAUUACAAAUAUAUUCCAGGUUGGCCUGAUCACUCACUCACCACUCCCUGCAACUCCAUGGAGAAGAUAUAAGCUGUCAAAAAUGUAUUUGUGAGUCUGAUGAGCUCUUUCACCCAGGUGACAGGGGUUUCUGCCAUAUUAAUAUUCUUCUUCUUCUCCACCUUUUGUGUUUCAAUGCUGGGCCUGGAGAAGGCAGGGACCUUGGCUCUUCCACGGUGGCUGUUCAUCAGCACUCACACAUCCACCACACCGGUUUAGUCGCACGCUGGAAGACGUAGGGGUUGGUAUGGAUAUUUUGUUUUGUGUUUGUUUUGAAACAAAGUCUCACCCUGUCACUCAGGCUGUAGUGCAGUGGUGUGAUCAUAGUUCACUGCAGCCUCAACCUCCCAGGCGCAAGUGAUGCUACUUCCUCAGCCCUCUGAGUAGCUGGGUCUACAGGCACAUGUCACUGUGCCCAGCUGUUAAAUUUUUUUGUUGUUGUUGUUUUGUAAAGAUGAGGUCUCUCUAUUGCCCACGCUGGUCUUGAACACCUGGGCUCAAGCAAUCCUCCCGCCCUGGCCUCCCAAAGUGCUGGGAUUACAGGCAUGAGCCACCGCACUUGGCCAGUGUUGAUAUUGUAGAUAGCAUAACCAGAGCAGGCUUCCCUGAGAAGUUGACGUUGGGCAAAGGCCUGAUGGAAAGGACCUCCUCUGUUGAAUGUGGAUAUUAAUAUUUCACACACUUGUAAGUGGGAAGAUGUGGGUGGAAAGCUGCACAUAAAGAUAGAGCCACUUGCCUUUGUCUUGUCAAUGCCUUCUUCUGAAGUUGUGUUCGCUAAAAUCGUCUCUGAACACAAUACAAGGUUAGCAUUCCUCUUUGUCCACUGUUAUGCAGCAAAUUUGAGCUCUGACUCCAGAGACUAACUUUGCCAUCCAGGGUUUCAGUGCCUCCCUUGAUUGACCUAGGACAUCCUCCCCAGAACAAACAGAAGCCUGCAGAUGAGAACACACUCAAUUUCCCUCCACUAAACUUACAAACCUACCUACAUCUGCACCCCAUCUUCUUUCUUUGCACUCCUUGCCUGCCUUCUCUUUGCUUACAAUCUUUAUUGAAGUUAUACAAAAAGAAUCCUCCAAAAGUGAAAAAAUACAUUAUAUACAAAAACACUUUCCCUUGGGAGGAGGGCUGUGCCCUCUCUUUACAUGCAGUGCUUUCAGCUGUAGCUCCAGCCUCCACUGUCCCCUCCACUGCCGCCCGGCUUUCAACCCGAUUCUCAGCCUCCUCCUCCAUGUUUUCCAAAACUUCAUUUCCACUGGGGACAGCAUCUCCACUGCCUCCGUUCACCUCCAGCUCUUGUUUGACUUUCUUUGCAUCAUCUUUCCAGGGACUCUGUUCCUCCGGUUUCCUCUUCUUUCUGACAAAGUGAGAAAUAUCAGUCACACAAUUUGAUGAGGAAGCACCAUCUGUUGGCUUUCUACUGGCAAUCAGGAGACUGAAGAGCCUCCUCCACUAGGAGUGAAACCUGAAGUAGAGCUCUCCACCAGAGUAGCUUUCAGAGCCAGUUCAGCUACAUUCCCAGGUUUUGCUUGGAAUCUGCCAUCAGCAAUGCCGAGGCCUGGCCUUGGUGGAAAUGGAGGUGCUGCUUAACUUUUCUUCCAAAACAUAGUACAACCCUAGUCAUCCUGUUUAAUAUGUGAAUUUCUUUAUUGAUUUUUAAAAAAAUGCUUGUUUCCCAAGCACGUUUCUAACUUAGAGACUAUUAGGAGGUGUGUCUAGAUGUUAGAAAGGUGGACCCACCUCCACCGGGUGAGUGAAGAGAGGUGGAGCACUAUACUUGCAGAGUGCUGUAUGGGCCUCAGUGCAGUGUCUUUCUGCCUGGGAAAGCUUUUCUUUCAUGGGGCUGUGUCAUUUAUACAUGCAUGCCCUCAUGCACACCUUCCACAGGGCCAGCCAGCCCUCCUCUUGCAGGAAUCUUGCUCUCAACUGAGGCUGGGAGACUGAUGUCCGGGUAGGUGUGACAUGAGCUUAGGCAGUAAUUUGGCUCUUUUAAGAGUGCAGACAGUCUCCUGGAGUCCCGCAGCUCCCAUCACUCUGCAGCCAGGAGCAGAGUCCAGCUGUCCUCAGGCCCCACGGGGACCUCGCUGUAUUUGCUCUCCCCCUGCAAAAAAAUAUUGCAUGUGAUGACUAGGAAUAUAAAAUAAAUUACCUUUGCCAUAGGCUGCUGGGUUUAUUAGCCUCUUUCAAACUCUUCACAAUGUAAAGGACAGGCUGACCUACAGUGGCCUCCUCCUUCCAACAGGCUCUCCCUCUCUCCCCCUCACUCCCUCCCUCCCUCCCUCUCUCUCCCCCCUCUCUCUCCCCUCUCCUCUCUCUGUGUAACAGGAGCUCUAUUUGUACAUUUAACUGCUUAACCUUUUGAGUUACUUCAGAGCUCUGUAUUUUUUCUAAGAUUUCUUUGGGAUACAAUUAAAAUUUUUCCACCUUUAUUAAGGUAUAAUUGACAAUUAAAAAUUGUAUAUAUUUACGGUGUACAACAUCGUGUUUUGAUAUAUGUAUACCUUGUGAAGUGAUGACCAGAGUGAAGUUAAUUAACAUAGCCAUUGCCUCAUGUCGUUAUCGUUUUGUGAGUCAUGCACCUGAGACAUUCUUAUUAGCAAGCUUGGAGCAGCAGUGGAGUGUUGAAAAAAUUUCUCUCAAACCUGGGCUCUAGAGAUGGAGUCUCUCUCUUUCGCCCAGGCUGGAGUGCAGUGGUGCGAUCUCAGCUCACUGCAAGCUCCGCCUCCCGGGUUCACGCCAUUCUCCUGCCUCAGCCUCCCAAGUAGCUGUGACUACAGGCACCUGCCACCACACCGGGCUAAUUUUUUUUUUUUUUUGUAUUUUUAGUAGAGACGGGGUUUCACCGUGUUAGCCAGAACGGUCUUGAUCUCCUGACCUCAUGAUCUGCCCGCCUCGGUCUCCCAAAGUGCUGGGAUUACAGGUAUGAGCCACCGCGCCUGGCCGGGAUAGCAUUUUAACUGGAUAGCUGACUGGCUGAUUUUAUAUUCCCACUUAAUGGAUAGAGAAAUUGAGGCAUUAGGAACCAUAUGGACCUGCCUUACUCUGAGAGGGAAAUAGGAGCAGGCCUGGGAAGUUUUCCCAGGAAAGAGAAUUUGUUAUAGCUUCAUAGAUUCAUGGGAUGCAUGAAUUUUCUUUUUCUUUUUUUUUGAGUUGCAAGAUUGUGAGGUUGCAGAUGCUCUGAUGUGACCGAGCAAGAGUUUGUCAAUUCAGAGGUAGACCCCAGAUGGUGGGAAUCAAAGGAGGGAAGUGAGGGGCACACGGGCCUCUGGGGGCUGAGGCAGGAGACAGCUCUCUGCCUUUCUCAGGUAGAGGACCUUUGGAGAUGUGAAUGAAAACAGCUGUCUGAACAAGUGGUACCCUAACUAGCGCGGCUGUGAGUCUGAAGCUUGAAAUGGGGAAGUUGGUCAGCAUGGGUGAGCUAUGCAGCCCAGGUGAAGGGAUCCUCAAGCAGCAGCCUCUGCCUUUUUGUCUUCUCCUUUUCACGGAGAUGACAAGAAUCACCCCAGGACUUAUCUUCUGAGGUGCUCAGCUGUGGUCCCAGUGCUGCUUUGGUCACUGCUAUGGCGGGUGGAAGCAGGAUGGGUGAAGUCAUUCUAAAUUAUAGCCAAAUUAUAUAUUUGCCAUCCCAAUAUAUGCCAGAGAAACUCUUGCACAGAUUCAUCCUGUCGUCUGCGCAGCAUUCAGCUUCUGGGAACCAUGUGUGGCUGCCUCUGGCUCCUUUAUCUCCAGGGCUUCUCGGAAGCCAUUUGUACAGACGUUUUCAGGCCUCUCCUGCCCACUGCUCAGGGUGUGGGUGCUGAGGGUGGGAUUUGGGAUUUGGCCAGGAGGAAGCAUCUGAAUUCAAGUUACCAGCAUAUUUCAUACUUUUCCUGCCUCCUAAAGGAAUUUUUAAAGAAUAUCUGUGACUUAAAGAUGGCAGACAAAAGUCACUGGGUUGUUUAAUCCCUGAUGAGAGACUAUGAAAAAGUGAUGACCCACAUUGAAAAAAUGCUUUUUCAUGUUUGGGAAAACAUGUACUUUGAACUUGGAAUUAAUAAUUACUUUCUCUAUCUUGUUUCUUUUCUUUCUUUCUUUUUUUUUUUUAGAGACAAGUUCUCACUCUGUUGCUCAGGCUGGAGUGCAGUGGCAUAAUCAUGGCUCACUGCAGCCUCCACCUCUUGGGCUCAAGCAAUUUUCCUGCCUCAGCCUCCUGAGUAGCUGGGACUACAGGUGUUUGCCACCAGCCCUGCUGUCUAUCUUGUUUCUAAAUCAAAAUUAAGCACUACUGGGUAAUGUCAUGGGAAGACGGUGGAGUAGGAAGCUCUAGGAAUUUAGGACUUGAGCAUCAGCUAGGAACGGUCUGAAUCAACUAUUUUGGAACUCUGAAGUCUAAUAUUCUGUCACGGGAGGAAAUCUCUUUAAAAGGUUCGACUCAGAGACCUCAGGACACCUCCAACAUGGGGCUUUCAAUCCGCUGUGAGUCCCCAGCUUCUGUGCAUGCCCAAUGUCCACGGCACACAGCUGUGCCAGACCCUGCUGUCGGGAUAACUGGCACCAGCCACGGGCAAUAGAUGACCUCAAUCUACCAGCCUGAGAGCUCCACCUUGAUCGCCACUGGUCCUCCUCUUUGAUCUCUUUCUCUCUUUCUGCUCAUUGUUUCUCUUUUUCCCUCCAAAUGGACUUUGUCCACUCUGGUUCCCAUCCUUGUGCCAGCCCCUCCCUUUCCUGUCAUCUUGACUCUGUGCAGUUGGCUCCACACUACGCUCGUUCAGGUGGCCUUUGCCUGCCUCAUAAUUCUCUGCUGAAACAGAGUAAUAAUAAAAAACCCAAGAAAAGAAAAUAUUUACCAGUUCUGAAAUGGCUUGAAUUAAUGAAGAAAGAUCAGAGACUCUUUUGCUAGGCUGUUGAAGUUCGAGGUGAAAUCAUCUUUUCUUCACUUGUUAACUGAAGGCAAACCCUUCGAAAUAUCCUGGCCUUGUUGUUCAUGUUGUUUUUGCAUUUUUAUCAUCAGGGUCACUUUUGUUAUAGAUUUGUCAUAGUGUGGAUCAACCUGCAUUCUUGUCAGGGUUUGCAAGCCUCCCUGCCAACGUGCUGAUCCAGUGCCUGUCCUGGAGUUACCCACCUCAUCCUGGUCUGUCUUUCUUAGAACAAUGACUUUCUAGCUCUAGCCUAAUACAAUAAUUUGUUUGGUGGUUUAAAGGAGUUGGCCAAGAAACACAGGCAAGAGCUAGCAUUCCCAAACUUAAUCCUUAAUCUGUUUGUCUUACUUGUUUAUGGAGAAAAACAGAAACAAAAUCACCCUAAGAUUGUGCUAUCUGAAACCAAAACACCUCCAGGAAGAUGUUCCAGGCUGAAUGUCCCACCCCCCUUCCCUCCCCCUGCUACCCCUCCAAUUCACAUGUUGAAGUUCUAAUGCCCAGUACCUCAGAAUGAGACUGUGUUUGGAGACAGGGUCUUUAUAGAGGUACUUAAGUUAGAAUAAGGUUAUUAGGAUGGGCUUUAUCCAAUAUGGUGAGUGUUCUUAUAAGAGGAGGAAAUUUAGAUACAGACACGAGCAGAGGGAAGACCCUCUUCAUGAGAAGACACAGAAAGCAGACAGCC
rnacentral:lncRNA from 1 species